rnacentral:rRNA from 1 species
GGACUUGACAUCCCUGUGACCGGUCCGUAAUGGGACCUUUCCCUUCGGGGACAGAGGAGACAGGUGGUGCAUGGUUGUCGUCAGCUCGUGUCGUGAGAUGUUGGGUUAGGUCCCGCAACGAGCGCAACCCUUGUCUUUAGUUGCCAGCACGUAAAGGUGGGAACUCUAGAGAGACUGCCGGUGACAAACCGGAGGAAGGUGGGGAUGACGUCAAAUCAUCAUGCCCCUUAUGUUCUGGGCUACACACGUGCUACAAUGGCUGGUACAACGGGAAGCGAAGGAGUAAUCUGGAGCGAAACCCAAAAAGCCAGUCCCAGUUCGGAUUGUGGGCUGCAACUCGCCCACAUGAAGUUGGAGUUGCUAGUAAUCGCGAAUCAGAAUGUCGCGGUGAAUGCGUUCCCGGGUCUUGUACACACCGC